GGGUCCCUCGGCAGCGGGUGAGGGGCGGUACCAAGCAAGCCACACUCACAUCUACAGCCCAGAAGAGGGAGCCAGAUCUCAUUACAGAUGGUUUUGAGCCACCAUGUGGAUGCUGGGAAUUGAACUUAGGACCUCAGGAAGAACAGUCAGUGUUCUUAACCUCUGAGCCAUCUCUCCAGCCCCUGAAUUUUUAACUUUUGAGCCAUAGAGUACUGUACAGAUAAAGACUCUCCAAAAAUACCACUGACUUUGUUUUGUGUUGGCCAUCUACUGCUGAGCAUGGGGCCUGCCUUUAAGUGUGGUUUGUGUACCCAGGGAUACUCUGUUGGAGAAAGCUAAUUAUUCCUUUGUGAGCAGAUGUCAACUGGAGAUAGCCUCUGUCUAUUUACAUGGUGGAUUACAUUGAUCAAUUUAUGUAUGUUGAACCAUCCUUGCAUCUCUGGAAUGAAGCCCAUUUGAUCACAGUGGAUGACACACCUCCCGCCAGGACAGGGUUUCUCUGUGUAGCCCUGGCUGUCCUGGAACUAGCUCUGUAGACUAGGCUAGCCUUGAACUCAAGAGAUCUGCCUGCCUCUGCCUUUCAAGUGCUGAGAUUAAAGGUGUGUGCCACCACCGCCCAGCUUUUGAUGUGUUCUUGUAUUCAGUUUGCAAGUAUUUUAUUGAGAAAUUUUUCAUCUGUGUUCACAAAGGAAACUGGCCGGUAUUUUUUUUUCUUUGAAGGUUUGGGUCUUUGUUUGGUAGGUAUCAGGGUAACUAGCCUUGUAAAAUGAGGUAGCCAAUGUUCCUUCUGUUUCUUUUUUUGUUUUGGUUUUUGUUUUUUGAGACAGUGUUUCUCUGUGUAGCCAUGUGCUGUGGGAUGGUUUGUAUGUCAAGUGUGUUGCUGAUUAGUCAAUAAAUAAAUCACUGAUUGGCCAGUUGCUAGGCAGGAAGUAUAGUCGGGAAAAGGAGGAGAAUAAAGCUGGGAAGUGGAAGGCUGAGUCAGAGAGACACUGCCAGCCGCCACAAUGACAAACAGCAUGUGAAGAUGCCGGUAAGCCACGAGCCACGUGGCAAGGUAUAGAUUUAUAGAAAUGGAUUAAUUUAAGCUGUAAGAACAGUUAGCAAGAGCCUGCCAUGGCCAUACAGUUUGUAACCAAUAUAAGUCUCUGUGUUUACUUGGUUGGGUCUGAGCGGCUGUGGGACUGGUGGGUGACCGAGAUUUGUCCUGACUGUGGGCCAGGCAGGAAAACUCUAGCUACAGCCAUGGCUGUCCUGGAACUCACUCUGUAAACCAGGUUGUUGUGGAAUAAUCUUUUUGUACACUGAAGAUGUGUCACUCUGAUUGGUUUAAUAAAAAGCUGAACGGCCAAUACCUAGGCAGGAUUUCCAGGCAGAGAGAACACUGGGAAGAAGGUGGAGACACAGAAGAAACAGCAUGAGCAGUACAGAGUAAAGGUAACCAAGCCACGGAAAAGAAUGUAGAUUAAAAAAUAUGGGAUAAAUUGUUAUAGGAGCUAGUUAGAAUCAAACCUAAGCUAUUGGCCAAGAUUUCAUAUUUAAUAAGUCUACUUGUCAUUUUUGGGGAGCUGAUGGUCCCAACCAAAAAGUUCAACUAUACCAGGCUGGUCUCCAACUCAGAGAUCCCCCUGCCUCUGCCUCCCGAGUGCUGGGAUUAACAUUGUGAGCCACCACACCCAGCUUCUGUUUGUUUUGCAGAAUAUUUUGAGUAGUGUUGGCAUGAAUACUCCUUUAAACGUCUGGUAGAAUUCUGUGCUAAAUCUAUCUGGACCUGGGCUUUUUGUGGUUGGGAAACUUUUAAUUACUGCUUCUAUUUCACUAGAGGUUAAUGGUCUAUUUAAAUUGUUUAUCUGAUAUUGAUUUAAUAUUGUCAGAUGGUAUGCAUCAAUAAAUUUAUCUAUUUCUUUCAGGUUUUCCAAUUUGGUGGACCACAGAUUUUUUUGAAGUAUGUCCUUAUAAGCUGUCCUGGAACUUGCUCUGUAGACCAGGCUGACCUCAACCUCAGAGAUCCACCUGCCUCUGUAUGGGAUUAAAAGGAUGUGCCACCACCA